rnacentral:sRNA from 1 species
CAUCAUGUAACCAAUUAGACAAGAUAUGUCUCAAUUUGUUCAGCAUUGGGGCCAUGGUGUGACCGGAAGCUUUGGCCCGAGCAAGCGAAGAUAGACGCAGCAGCACUCGUUAAAUUGAUGAGCUGAGAUAGUUUCUGACUUCACCAUCUGGAAUUCUAGUCUGGGGUUCUGCUAAAAGCUGCUGACCCACGUUUCAAC